rnacentral:rRNA from 1 species
GUCUUGAAACACGGACCAAGGAGUCUGACAUGUGCGCAAGCCGUCGCGCUAACCAAGCGCAGAGGGCACAGUGAAAGCAUUGGCCGGUGCUUGUCGCCGGCCGUAGUUGGGAUCCUCGGCCUCGUGCCGGGGCGCACCAACCGUCCGCCUACUCCGUUUUGCUCGGUGUGGCGGAACGUGAGCGUACACGUCGGGACCCGAAAGGUGGUGAACUAUGCCUGGGCAGGACGAAGCCAGAGGAAACUCUGGUGGAGGUCCGCAGCGAUUCUGACGUGCAAAUCGAUCGUCAGACCUGGGUAUAGGGGCGAMAGACUAAUCGAACCUCCUAGUAGCUGGUUCCU